UACAGAGGGUGCGAGCGUUAAUCGGAAUUACUGGGCGUAAAGCGUGCGCAGGCGGUCUGUUAAGACCGAUGUGAAAUCCCCGGGCUUAACCUGGGAACUGCAUUGGUGACUGGCAGGCUUUGAGUGUGGCAGAGGGGGGUAGAAUUCCACGUGUAGCAGUGAAAUGCGUAGAGAUGUGGAGGAACACCGAUGGCGAAGGCAGCCCCCUGGGCCAACACUGACGCUCAGGCACGAAAGCGUGGGGAGCAAACAGG
rnacentral:rRNA from 1 species